UACGAAGGGGGCUAGCGUUGUUCGGAUUUACUGGGCGUAAAGCGCACGUAGGCGGAUUGGUCAGUUAGGGUGAAAUCCCAGAGCUCAACUCUGGAACUGCCUUUAAUACUGCCAAUCUAGAGUCCGGAAGAGGUAAGUGGAACUCCUAGUGUAGAGGUGGAAUUCGUAGAUAUUAGGAAGAACACCAGUGGCGAAGGCGGCUUACUGGUCCGGUACUGACGCUGAGGUGCGAAAGCGUGGGGAGCAAACAGG
rnacentral:rRNA from 1 species